UAACUUGCCCCGAAGCGGGGGAUAACAUUUGGAAACAGGUGCUAAUACCGCAUAACAACAAAAACCACAUGGUUUUUGUUUAAAAGAUGGUUUCGGCUAUCACUUUGGGAUGGACCCGCGGCGUAUUAGCUAGUUGGUGAGGUAAUGGCUCACCAAGGCAAUGAUACGUAGCCGACCUGAGAGGGUAAUCGGCCACAUUGGGACUGAGACACGGCCCAAACUCCUACGGGAGGCAGCAGUAGGGAAUCUUCCACAAUGGACGAAAGUCUGAUGGAGCAACGCCGCGUGAGUGAUGAAGGGUUUCGGCUCGUAAAACUCUGUUGUUGGAGAAGAACGGGUGUCAGAGUAACUGUUGACAUCGUGACGGUAUCCAACCAGAAAGCCACGGCUAACUACGUGCCAGCAGCCGCGGUAAUACGUAGGUGGCAAGCGUUGUCCGGAUUUAUUGGGCGUAAAGCGAGCGCAGGCGGUUUUUUAGGUCUGAUGUGAAAGCCUUCGGCUUAACCGGAGGAAGUGCAUCGGAAACCGGGAGACUUGAGUGCAGAAGAAGGACAGUGGAACUCCUGUGUAGCGGUGAAAUGCGUAGAUAUAUGGAAAA
rnacentral:rRNA from 1 species